rnacentral:lncRNA from 1 species
CGGAGCUGCCACAACCCAUCUUCCCACAACUCGGAACUUGGAAAAAGGAACCCAGGACACGACUUUGCUUUUCUUUUGGACCUAGUUGAUACAAGUUAACAGGAUAUGCUUCUGGCCUGUUUCUGGAUUCUAAGGGUAGAACCAGCAUAAAACUAGUCAGUCCAAGUAUUUCUAAAGAUCCACAGACACAGUUCUCCUGGAUUUGGGAAGCCUAGAGAUAUUAGCACAAUAAUUAAGGCCCAACAACUUUUAAAAGCCUUUCCACUGCACAGUGAAAGAAAACCACAAACUCCUUGUUUAAUAAGUGGGAUCACGUGCUUUUAACACGAGGAAAAGGUCAAUCUGAAGCAACUGAUAUGGAACUGCCAGAGUAGGAGUUGAAAAUCUUCCUAAACUGCUGGAGGAUACACCUCUGAUAGCUUGAGACAAAUAUCCUCUUGAUCAUUGUUUCACCAUAUUUGUCUUUGCUCAUGGAGAACCAUUUUGAUCCGUGGUUUAGCCUCCCAGGUGAUUGAACAAUACCGGUGAUCUGAGGCAGACCCUCUGUGACGGAUAACAGGAAAGAAUAUUGAUUGAACAUCUACUCAAGAACUGCAAAACAGAGAUUACCUGACCUAAAGCAUUUAUAUUGCCAAUCAUGUUGGAGAGUCCAUGUGGUGAUUUCUGAAAACGAGAUGUGAGAAAGAAGAGGAUAAUUUAAGUCUAGACCUACAGAUUGUGCUGAUAAAGUGAUGAAGAACUACAAUCUUCUUAGUCAUUUCAUUGUA